UUUAGUCGCCAUGUCUUAGAAACUUUAACUCCCCUCUUAAACUUUUAGUUUUUUACUUUAGAAUAUAGAAAACCAAAAGUAUAGUUUUUUAGUUUUAUAGUAAGACAAAAUAAAACACAAAAUGAUUUAUAGAUCUUUUUAAAAACAAAAACCUUGAUGCUUAGUCAAGGAGUCAGGUCAGCUAGUGAAAGGACCAUGCCUACACAAUGGGCAACUGUAUGUUUCGAUGCGGCUACACUCUGUACGCUGACACCUGCAUAGGCAGAUGCAUCCACAACAAGUUCAUCCACUCCUUUCAGAAGCAAUUUGGGACAGAUGCCGUCCAUUCAAAAUUAACUCCCUUCAUCUUCAACGAUCUUCUCAUAAUUCUCACACCU
rnacentral:sRNA from 1 species